CUCAAACGCGGCACGACAUUACCAGCGAACCAAGCGGAUGAAAGUCAUAACUAGUUUUUUGCUUCAGAAUGGUCAGAUUGGUUUUACGUAGAUUUAUUAUGGUAUAUCUAGCUCACUGUUCUGUGACUGAGUGUCUGCUAGGAUCUGAUUGUCAUUUUCAAUGCUGGUCAAUGUGUUGCCGUCACGUUUUGACAGUUUGGGCCCAAUUUUUGACGUUUUGACACUCAGGUCCGAGCCUGCUCAUCGAACGUCAUCGAUCAACUGGGGUCCUAAUCCAACCAAUCAACAAAGCAGCAUGAAAGUUGGUCAACCCAUUGUUCAAGUUCUACGAAGACAGAGCCUUAAGCCUACACAUUUGCCCCAGCAGCUGUUGAUCUCACUCCCAACAAACGAAUGUGGUGUUUUGAAAGAAAUCAAACAGGUGGGAACUGGCAAGGAGCAGCUCAGUCCAGUCAGUCCACACAGGCUUUUUGACGAAUGGCAUGAAGCUUGAUUUUCCGAAGGUAGUGUAAAAAAGACAUGCAAGACCUUACUGGAGUAAAUACCAUUGAAGUGUGCAGUCUUGUCUUGUUAAUCCAGUUAUGCUUAUGGUGAAAAUGGAAGUCCACCUAAAAAUUCCUCUUAAAUGCCACAUUGCUGAUGUUUGAGGUUGGAAGAUAGAAGAUCUCACCAAAGCAAGUGAUGGAGGAAUUAUAAAUCAAACCUUAAAGUUAUUCAAAUCCUAUAAUGAAAAGGUGCUUGUUGCUGAAGUUUCACUGGUCGGUCGACACGGUAUUUGAUCAACUUGAGUUAAGCUUCAACCUUGGAGAAGAUUUAGAACACAACAUUCCCGACGGUGUUGAAUAGGCUCUGUUGAAAUUCAAGAAGCAAGAGAGGAGUUUCCUUAAGUUGACACUGGCUGCAUACGGUUUCGGCUCUGCCGGUAACGAGAAACAAGGUGUUUUACCCAACGUCAACUUCGAAUACGAGGUAGAACUCAAGAGCUUUGAAAAGGCCAAAGAGAGCUGGAGCAUGGACGCCGAAGAAAAAGCUGGAACAGGCUAAACUCUGCAAAGAAAAAGGAACCAAUCAUUUUAAAACUGCCAAAUACGCUCUGGCUAACAAACAGUAGGCCUACUCCAAGAUUGUCACCCUCCUCGAGUUUGAAAAAACUCUUAAAGACUAGAAAGCUGCGGAGGGAGAACAGCUCAUGCUGGCAGCAUACCUCAAUCAGGCCAUGUGCUGUUUAAAGUUAAACGAUUUCUGUGCAACUCGUGAUCAUUGCCACAAGGCGCUCGAGAUGGACCCGAAAAAUGAAAAGGAUUUAUUCCGCAUGGGCCAGGCACUUUUGGGCAUCCACGAGCCGGAGAAAGCCAAGAAAAAUUCCGAGGCGAUUCUCCAAUUUGAUUCGAACAACAAGGCGGCCGCCAAUCAAGUGGUGAUCUGCAACGCCAAGAUUCGGGAGCUACGCGAAAAGGACAAGAAAUUGUACUCUAGCAUUUUCAACAAGGUGGUCGAAAACGAUCGACAGGUAAGCGAAAAGAAUGGAGGCAAAUGGCUUUACGGUUGGUGGGACGAGUCGACGAAGGGUGUCCAGCUGGACGUUGAUCUGGCUCAAAUCGAACGAGAUAAACAAGAAGCUGUGGAACAGUUAAAGGCCUAACGUAGGAAGAUCCAGGCAGAUUUCUUCAAGCGUUACGGUGGCAGGAAACCCAACAUCUUGUCAGUCAACGGGAAGCCGCUUAAUUUGAAUGAAGAUGAGGGUGAAGAAGAAGAUGACAAAAGCUCUUCGGACCACCAAAAUGCGGAGUCGACAGAAACACCAACAGAGUCAUCACCAGAGUCAUCCAACGAUCUUCAAAGCCUUGCGAAACAAGGCGAUGGAUAUGCCGGAACCGACGCAGUGGGACAAUGAAGACUCGGAGAACACGACCGCCGUUGAAUUGCAAGAUCCUUUGGACUCUGUGCCAUGUAUAGAGUCGGAAGACUCCGAAGGGUCGGAUGAAAACUAAUCUUGAUUAUCGCCAUUGUGAUUCUCGACCCAUUUAAACAAAAAUUUAAUUACCGAGAAUUGAUUGUGUUUUUCUUUCAUGCCUGUUUUCUCUGUUGUUAUAUAACACAAUAACUUCUAAACCAAAACAGUACUAAGGACAUAUUCAAUUGAUUGUGUAAUUAUCGACUGCCCUCAAUCGUAAAACAUCUCAUCUUUAUCACAUAGAAAUGGUGGAUUUGACGGUUAAAUUUAAUAAAUAAAAAUGGAGAUUCCAUCUUAGUUGACGAAACCAAAUCCUCCCUGAGUGAUAAAUAAAAUGCUGUCUCGGUUUAA
rnacentral:lncRNA from 1 species